AGCACCUUUCAGUUCUAACAUUACUUUAGUCCCUUCAUUUCUGCUUAUGCUUCAAAGAUGGCACUUUUCUUCAACAAUAAGUAAAUUCCAGUUCCUUAAAUCUGCUCAAAGAGCUCUGUUAAGUACCAAAGGAAGAACCAUGGAACUGAGUGUUACAUGAAUUCAGUUUAGUAAAAGACAAGUUGCAUUGGAAAGCAGGACCAGGUUUUUUCUGACCGGGGUUUAGUUUGGACAUGUCUAGAAUACAGGAGUAAGAAACCCUUUGAAAGAACAUGAAGAGUGUGGGUGUCUGCAGCUGCAAGGAGCAUUUGAUCCUUUCUUGGAAAGUUCUGAAGAUGAAUAAAAGUGAUUGCAGGGAAGGAGCACCGAGUGGAACAGACGCAGAGG